rnacentral:rRNA from 1 species
AUGGAAGUGCCUCGCACCGCCGGCGUGGAUUUUUGCUGGAACCAGCUCUAUGUUUUGCUGGAACUUGCUAUAUUUUUUGCUACAUCACUUCUUCGUGUGGUGGUGAUGGAUGGUGUUUUUGCUACAACUGGCGAGCAUUUUUGCUACGACCGGCAAUUUUUUUGCUGCUACCGGCAACCUGAGAGUGAGUACUCCUUUUCUACGAGCUCGUUGUCGGCGUGCUACGACCGGCGCCACCGGAGCCGCGGCCGUCGCACCGGAGCUACGACCGGCGCCACGGGGAGCUGCAACCGCGGGCGCACACUGCUGCAUGCACAUAGCCGGGGAGAAACGCAGGAGGCGACAUCGGCUGCGACGAGGACGACCGGCGGUGAGAGCAGCGACCGGCGGCGAGGGAAGCAACAGGAGAGACGUGCGGGCGGUGCUUCGAGGCUGGGCGCGUCGCUAGUCCAUGGCGGCGCGAUUGAAGCUUUUUUUUCUGAUGAAAGCUCUGUUUCUGAAAGAAAAAGACAUCAGAUAGAGGAAGGGACGAGAAUCGUGUGGCUACCUGCUGUUUGA